UAACUACCAUUUUAUUCUUCUUGCAGAGGACCUCAGCAUCAUAAAAAGCCCCAGAGUUUAAUAAUUUGAUUUGGGCUUUGUCUAAAUUUCUUUGAGCUUUGUCUCAAUUUUAUGGCAGACCUUCAAGCCUUUUUCUUUCCAAUUUGUUGUUCCUAGCAGUGAGUCAUUGUCCACCUGUUCCAGCUAUUCGGCUCCUCGGGUGCUUUCUCCAUGGAUUUCGAUUGAAGGUAUGCUUUGGGUUAAAGUAGUUGCUAAAGUUCAAUUUGCACGAUUUGGUAAGAUUAUGUGAGUGCUCGUAGCACGGGUGGCUUGCCUACCCCCGUUUUCCCUUUAUCCCUUAGGUUCAUUGGUUCUUCUCUCGACGGAGGCGGCUUGGUGGUGGUGAUGCAACUAUUUUGGUGGAGGAGGCUAGUUCCCGUUUUUAGAUUCAGGGUUUUCAGUUUAAGGAUUGCUAUGGGGCUCAUUUUGGGGGUUUGUUUCUCUUUUUUCCUUUUGUAUUUGGGAUGCAGUUUUAGUUUAAUGUUGUAUAUUGUCCUCAGACUUUUCUCACUUUGUAUCAAUGUGUUUUAAUGAAGGUAUGCUUUGGGUUAAAGUGGUUGGUAAAGUUCAAUUUGCACGAUUUGGUAAGAUUAUGGGAGCGCUUAUAGCACGAGUGGCUUGCCCACCCCUGUUUUCCCUUUAUCCCUUAGGUUCAUUGGUUCUCUCGACGAAGGCGGCUUGGUGGUCGUGAUGCAACUAUUUUGGUGGAGGAGGCUAGUUCCCGUUUUUAGAUUUAGGGUUUUCAGUUUAAGGAUUGCUAUGGGGCUCAUUUUUUGGGUUUGUUUCUCUUUUUUCCUUUUGUAUUUGGGAUGCAGUUUUAGUCAAGGAAGAAAAUAUCGGUAAUAUCGGAAAUAUCGGUAGUCCGAAAACACGGAAAUAUCGAUGGAAAUAUCGGGAUAAUAUCGAUAUCGAUAAAAAUUACAUGGAAACCACGGAAAUUGUAAGAAAAACUUGGAAAUUUUUAAUGAAACUUUGUAGGAUGUUUAUUUAGUCAAUUAUCUAUUAGUUUAUCACAAAAAAUUGGAAGGAAAUGCAUUGCAUGAUGGAUUUAACUGAUUUAAGUUGAUUAUAUAGCGAGCUGGCAAACAUUGUGAGUGUAGAAAAUAUGUAGUAAUUAAUGAAAGAAGUUUAAACACACCAUAAUCAUUUAUAUAUAAUUAAUUAGUACAAUAUUUGGAGGUUUUAUUUAGGAUAUUAAAAAAAAAAAAGGGAGUGAAUAAAAUGAUGAAGAAUAAUGUGCCGAAUUUGACAAUUUAAAUUUCUUACACAUAAGCAUGCGUCUAGGCGUUGAAGUUCCAAAUUAUAGUAUAUCAAUUAACAAUUGAAAAUCAAUACAUUGAAUAAGACUAAACUUUAAUUUGGAUGCCGAUUAUGUUUUUUCAAGUUGAUAUAAAGUAAAAGUAUUGAAUUUUGGAAGCCAGGAGUGUGUCAAUUGAAUUUUGGGCGGCGUGCAAGGUAUCAAUCUCUUCGUCUCUUCGAGGGCUACAACUUUCCUUUUUGUUUUCACUCAAUUUCGUUGCGUAUUGAAAAAGUUAUACUCAUUUGAAUCUUACCCAGUUUCCGGCGACCUCAGUAGCUUUCGAGGCAAUUUCCGGCCACACCACAAUGAGUCAGAUGUCGUGUGAGGUACCAUUCUCUUCGUCUCUUCGAGGGCUACAACUUUCCUUUUUGUUUCACUCAAUUUCGUUGCGUAUUGAAAAAGUUAUACUCAUUUGAAUCUUACCCAGUUUCCGGCGACCUCAGUAGCUUUCGAGGAAAUUUCCGGCCAAACCACUGCGAGUUGCCCGGUGUUCAAGGUAUCAAUCUCUUCGUCUCGUCGAGUAGUACAACUUUCCUUUUUGUUUCACUCAAUUUCGUUGAGUAUUGAAAAAGUUAUACUCAUUUGAAUCUUACCCAGUUUCCGGCGACCUCAGUGACUUUCGAGGCAUUUUCCGGCCAAACCACGACGAUUCAGACGUCGUGUGAGGUACCAUUCUCUUCGUCUCUUCGAUGGCUACAACUUUCGUUUUUGUCUUGCUUGAUUUCGUUGAGUUUUGACAAAGUUAUGACCGUUUAAAGUGGGUGUAAAAUUUCGGCCGAAAUUUUGAUUUUUUCUCCCAUUGGGCGAGUCCGACAUCGCCCAUGCAAGGAAGUGAGCAAGCCAUUUUUCCUAUAAAAGCCACACUCCCCUGUUGAGAUAUCCAAAGCUUGUUUGGUCUUUGGGCCAUGAUCAAGUGAAGUAUGUGUUGAGUUUACUUAACAUAUUUAAGUAUUUUUUUAAUAAAAUAUUGCGAUAUUAUCGAUAAUUUUGAAAAUAUCGCGAUAUUUUUGAUAUUAUCGAUAAUAUCGCGAUAUUUAACGAAAAUAUGUUGGAUAGUUAAAAAAAUUUCGGAAUUCCAAAAAAACGAUAAUAUCGGCGAUAUUUCGCCGAUAUUAUCGAUUUUUUCUUCCUUGGUUUUAGUUUAAUGUUGUAUAUUGUCCUUAGACUUUUCUCACUUUGUAUCAAUGUGUUUUAAUGAAGGUAUGCUUUGGGUUAAAGUGGUUGGUAAAGUUCAAUUUGCACGAUUUGGUAAGAUUAUGGGAGCGCUUAUAGCACGAGUGGCUUGCCCACCCUUGUUUUCCCUUUAUCCCUUAGGUUCAUUGGUUCUUCUCUCGACGAAGGCGGCUUGGUGGUCGUGAUGCAACUAUUUUGGUGGAGGAGGCUAGUUCCCAUUUUUAGAUUUAGGGUUUUCGGUUGAAGGAUUGCUAUGGGGCUCACUUUUGGGGUUUGUUUCCCUUUUUUCCUUUUGUAUUUGGGAUGCAGUUUUAGUUGUAUAUUGUCCCUAGACUUUUCUCACUUUGUAUCAACGUGUUUUAAUGAAAUUGGUUGUUUUUGGAAGAAAAAAAAUGAAAUUAGUUGUUAGACCCGAGAGAGAGAGAGAGAGAGAGAGAGAGAGAGAGAGAGAGAGAGAGAGAGAGAGAGAGCACUGCGAAUGUGAACGAAAUUUGAAGGUUCCUUAAGUAAACAAGUUCAAACCUAAGAAAAGCCCCCUAAAAUACCAAAGCUUGUAAAAGAGUCCAAAUGUUGGCGUAUUUUAUGUAGGAAACAGGGUUUCGAAAGGAAAUAAAGCUGGACAAAAGAUGACGAAAAGUUUACAUAUUCCGACCAAAAAUUGAGAAUGAAAAUACUCAUCAUUCAUCAGAUUCGAACUUAAAACAUAUUACUUAAAAAUGAAAAAAAAAAUACUACUAAAUUGUAAUACUAGGUGGCAUCAUAUUCCCGAAAUUUGAAUAUGAAGAAAUGAAAGAAAACAAAUGAAGUGUUCAAACGGCUUUUUAGGGUAUCGUUAUAUUUCAAAUACAUGUCAAAUGUAUUUCAUCUAGUUAUUCAAUCGAAAUAGAUUCACCCUCAUGUUUUCUAGUUUAUGUUGCAAAUUGUCAAACCCAAAUCCAUAUUUCAAAUCCCUCCACCCAACUAGAGAGUUUUAGAGCAUGUUUGGUACUCUACUUAAAUCAAACUUUUUAAACUCAAAAAUAAUUUUCAAGUUUUAAGUCUUAAAAACUUGUUUGGUAUGACUAUUUUCAAAAACUGAACUCAAGACUAAUUCAAAAUUAUAGUCUAUUAUCUAAAAACACAAAAAGUGAGUUUUUAAAGUUUUUAAACUUAAACUUACUUAUUUCUUUUCUCUCCCUCCUCCCCUCUCACUUCAAAUCUCUCUCUCUCUCUCUCUCUCUCUCUUUUCUUCUUUCUCUCUC
rnacentral:lncRNA from 1 species